rnacentral:misc_RNA from 1 species
AAGUCGUAACAAGGUUUCCGUAGGUGAACCUGCGGAAGGAUCAUUAAGAAUUCGGCUUCGCGGCCAAGUUCUCACCCUUUGUAUACCGAAACCAUGUUGCUUUGGCAGGCCCCUGCAUUCCGGCCUCCAGAGGUUAUAAACCCGAAUCUUGCUGUCUGGUACUAUCAAUAGUUAAAAAC